GUCCACGCCCUAACUAUGGAUACUCGACAUACGCGAUACACAGUGUGUGUCUGAGCGAAAGCAUUAAGUAUCCCACCUGGGAAGUACGAUCGCAAGAUUGAAACUCAAAGGAAUUGGCGGGGUCCGCACAAGCGGUGGAGCAUGUGGUUUAAUUCGAUGAUACGCGAGGAACCUUACCUGGGCUAGAAUGCUGGGAGACCGGUCCUGAAAGGGAUCUUUGUAGCAAUACACUGCCAGUAAGGUGCUGCAUGGCUGUCGU
rnacentral:rRNA from 1 species